rnacentral:snoRNA from 1 species
UCUAGUGAUGACUCGAUGUCGCCCCAAACGGACUAUAUAAUGACCGAUUCGAUUUCUAAAUAACCAAACUCACACUGAAAAUUCUGAUA